rnacentral:sRNA from 1 species
GCCAGGCAUGGUGGCGCAUGCCUGUAAUCCCAGCUACUCCGGAGGCUGAGGCAGGAGAAUUGCUUGAACCCAGGAGGUGGAGUCUGCAGUGAGCCGAGAUCACGCCACUGCACUCCAGGCUGGGUGACAGAGCGAGACUCUGUCUCAA